rnacentral:rRNA from 1 species
CGAUGAACCACUUCGGUGGGGAUUAGUGGCGAACGGGUGAGUAACACGUGGGCAAUCUGCCCUGCACUCUGGGACAAGCCCUGGAAACGGGGUCUAAUACCGGAUACUGAUCCGUCUGGGCAUCCAGACGGUUCGAAAGCUCCGGCGGUGCAGGAUGAGCCCGCGGCCUAUCAGCUUGUUGGUGAGGUAGUGGCUCACCAAGGCGACGACGGGUAGCCGGCCUGAGAGGGCGACCGGCCACACUGGGACUGAGACACGGCCCAGACUCCUACGGGAGGCAGCAGUGGGGAAUAUUGCACAAUGGGCGAAAGCCUGAUGCAGCGACGCCGCGUGAGGGAUGACGGCCUUCGGGUUGUAAACCUCUUUCAGCAGGGAAGAAGCGAAAGUGACGGUACCUGCAGAAGAAGCGCCGGCUAACUACGUGCCAGCAGCCGCGGUAAUACGUAGGGCGCGAGCGUUGUCCGGAAUUAUUGGGCGUAAAGAGCUCGUAGGCGGCUUGUCACGUCGGUUGUGAAAGCCCGGGGCUUAACCCCGGGUCUGCAGUCGAUACGGGCAGGCUAGAGUUCGGUAGGGGAGAUCGGAAUUCCUGGUGUAGCGGUGAAAUGCGCAGAUAUCAGGAGGAACACCGGUGGCGAAGGCGGAUCUCUGGGCCGAUACUGACGCUGAGGAGCGAAAGCGUGGGGAGCGAACAGGAUUAGAUACCCUGGUAGUCCACGCCGUAAACGGUGGGCACUAGGUGUGGGCAACAUUCCACGUUGUCCGUGCCGCAGCUAACGCAUUAAGUGCCCCG